UUCAGGUACUUUGACUACUGCAGAGUGGACUUUCCUUUUUCAGCUAACAAAACUGAAGACCCACGUUCUCAAGAUAGGACAGACAAAACAGAGGUAGCUGAGCUGAUCAGACUUGAAAGGUCCUUUUCUCCAUUGGUAGAAGAGUUGACUAGCAAAGGGAAUCUUCACAGCUUUCAAAGAGUUCUUCAGAGUUUGAUGA
rnacentral:lncRNA from 1 species